rnacentral:lncRNA from 10 species
CUGUGUUGGUAGGGACAUCUGAGAGUAAUGAUGAAUGCCAACCGCUCUGAUGGUGGCACAUGCCGAGUCACCCGAGUAAGCUAUUGUUAAGGGCCGUGACCCGAGCCUCCAUCAGCCGUCCGCUCUCAUGAAAGGCUGUCGGUGGUAGUCCACGUGCUUAAGUGCCUGCAUUCCGCAGUGUCACCAAUAUUUCCAUUAGUGUUUCUUUUUUCUUUUUUGAGACCGAGCCUCGUUCUGUCACCCAGGCUGGAAUGCAGUGGCUCGACAUCGGUUAAUGGCAACCUCCGCGUCCCGAGUUAAGCAGUUCUGCCUCAGCCUCCCAAGUAACUGGGACUACAGGCGCGCGCCACCAUGCUAGGCUUUUAUAUUUUUAGUAGAGACGGGGUUUCACCAUGUUGGCGAGACUGGUCUUGAACUCCUGACCUCAGGUGAUCCACCAGCCGUGGUCCCCCAACAUACUGGGAUUACAAGCCGUGAGCCACCGCGCCCGGCCGCCAUCGGUGGUUCUUAACUGCGGGUGCAGUGCUUCUUUGUAACAUUAAGUGUAUCCUUUACCUGUCGCUAGAUAAUGAAUGGUAUGUUACCUGCAUCAUUGGUUUAAAAAGACGAACCGUUUUUUUAAAGAACACUCUUUAAAAAAAAGAACCGUGGAACAAUGAAUUAAAAUCUGUACCUGAUCUCUUUAGGUAUGGUGCUGGGUGCAGAUGCAGUGUGGCUCUGGAUAGCACCUUAUGGACAGUUGUGUCCCCAAGGAAGGAUGAGAAUAGCUACUGAAGUCCUAAAGAGCAAGCCUAACUCAAGCCAUUGGCACACAGGCAUUAGACAGAAAGCUGGAAGUUGAAAUGGUGGAGUCCAACUUGCCUGGACCAGCUUAAUGGUUCUGCUCCUGGUAACGUUUUUAUCCAUGGAUGACUUGCUUGGGUAUGGAGAGUCGGCUUGACUACACUGUGUGGAGCAAGUUUUAAAGAAGCAAAGGACUCAGAAUUCAUGAUUGAAGAAAUGCAGGCAGACCUGUUAUCCUAAACUAGGGUUUUUAAUGACCACAACAAGCAAGCAUGCAGCUUACUGCUUGAAAGGGUCUUGCCUCACCCAAGCUAGAGUGCAGUGGCCUUUGAAGCUUACUACAGCCUCAAACUUCUGGGCUCAAGUGAUCCUCAGCCUCCCAGUGGUCUUUGUAGACUGCCUGAUGGAGUCUCAUGGCACAAGAAGAUUAAAACAGUGUCUC